rnacentral:rRNA from 1 species
GAUGAACGCUGGCGGCGUGCCUAAUACAUGCAAGUCGAGCGAACAGACGAGGAGCUUGCUCCUCUGACGUUAGCGGCGGACGGGUGAGUAACACGUGGAUAACCUACCUAUAAGACUGGGAUAACUUCGGGAAACCGGAGCUAAUACCGGAUAAUAUAUUGAACCGCAUGGUUCAAUAGUGAAAGACGGUUUUGCUGUCACUUAUAGAUGGAUCCGCGCCGCAUUAGCUAGUUGGUAAGGUAACGGCUUACCAAGGCAACGAUGCGUAGCCGACCUGAGAGGGUGAUCGGCCACACUGGAACUGAGACACGGUCCAGACUCCUACGGGAGGCAGCAGUAGGGAAUCUUCCGCAAUGGGCGAAAGCUUGACGGAGCAACGCCGCGUGAGUGAUGAAGGUCUUCGGAUCGUAAAACUUUGUUAUUAGGGAAGAACAAAUGUGUAAGUAACUAUGCACGUCUUGACGGUACCUAAUCAGAAAGCCACGGCUAACUACGUG